GACGAACGCUGGCGGCGCGCCUAACACAUGCAAGUCGAACGGAGCUGAGAGAAGCUUGCUUUUCUUAGCUUAGUGGCGAACGGGUGAGUAACGCGUGAGUAACCUGCCCUGGAGUGGGGGACAACAGUUGGAAACGACUGCUAAUACCGCAUAAGCCCACGAUCCGGCAUCGGAUUGAGGGAAAAGGAUUUAUUCGCUUCAGGAUGGACUCGCGUCCAAUUAGCUAGUUGGUGAGGUAACGGCCCACCAAGGCGACGAUUGGUAGCCGGACUGAGAGGUUGAACGGCCACAUUGGGACUGAGACACGGCCCAGACUCCUACGGGAGGCAGCAGUGGGGGAUAUUGCACAAUGGGGGAAACCCUGAUGCAGCGACGCCGCGUGGAGGAAGAAGGUUUUCGGAUUGUAAACUCCUGUCGCUAGGGACGAUAAUGACGGUACCUAACAAGAAAGCACCGGCUAACUACGUG
rnacentral:rRNA from 1 species